UCUCUUGUAGCUCAGUUGGUAAAGAAUCUGCCUGUAAUACAGAAGACCUGGGUUCGAUUCCUGGGUUGGGAA
rnacentral:tRNA from 1 species